GCUGGCGGCAGGCCUAACACAUGCAAGUCGAACGGAGUUAUAUUGUAGCUUGCUAUGGUAUAACUUAGUGGCAGACGGGUGAGUAAUGUAUAGGAAUCUACCUAGUAGUACGGAAUAAUUGUUGGAAACGGCAACUAAUACCGUAUACGCCCUACGGGGGAAAAAUUUAUUGCUAUUAGAUGAGCCUAUAUUAGAUUAGCUAGUUGGUGGAGUAAUAGCCUACCAAGGCAAUGAUCUAUAGCUGAUCUGAGAGGAUGAUCAGCCACACUGGAACUGAGAUACGGUCCAGACUCCUACGGGAGGCAGCAGUGGGGAAUAUUGGACAAUGGGCGAAAGCCUGAUCCAGCCAUGCCGCAUGAGUGAAGAAGGCCUUUGGGUUGUAAAGCUCUUUUAGUGAGGAAGAUAAUGACGGUACUCACAGAAGAAGUCCUGGCUAACUCCGUGCCAGCAGCCGCGGUAAUACGGAGAGGGCUAGCGUUAUUCGGAAUUAUUGGGCGUAAAGGGCGCGUAGGCGGAUUAGUAAGUUAAAAGUGAAAUCCCAAGGCUCAACCUUGGAAUUGCUUUUAAAACUGCUAAUCUAGAGAUUGAAAGAGGAUAGAGGAAUUCCUAGUGUAGAGGUGAAAUUCGUAAAUAUUAGGAGGAACACCAGUGGCGAAGGCGUCUAUCUGGUUCAAAUCUGACGCUGAGGCGCGAAGGCGUGGGGAGCAAACAGGAUUAGAUACCCUGGUAGUCCACGCUGUAAACGAUGAAUGUUAAAUAUGGGAAGUUUUACUUUCUGUAUUACAGCUAACGCGUUAAACAUUCCGCCUGGGGACUACGGU
rnacentral:rRNA from 1 species